CGGGGGGAGGGAGGGUCCCUCAGCCCAGAUUGUGAGAGGGUGCAGGCCAGGCCGAGGGACCCCACCGGUGCACU
rnacentral:pre_miRNA from 1 species